GCCGUCAGGGCCAUGCCACCCUGAACAAGCCCGAUCCGUCUGAUCUCGGAAGCUAAGCAGGGCGGGCCUGGUUAGUACUUGGAAGGGAGACCACCUGGGAAGACCGAGUGCCGUCGGCG
rnacentral:rRNA from 1 species